rnacentral:siRNA from 1 species
AAGCACUAGCCCUCCUCUUAGGA